GUCGUCGUGGCCGAGUGGUUAAGCGACAGACUAGAAUUCUGUUGGUCUCUGCCCGCCAGGUUCGAAUCCUGUCGGCGACG
rnacentral:tRNA from 1 species